UACGUAGGGACCAAGCGUUGUCCGGAAUCAUUGGGCGUAAAGCGCGCGUAGGCGGCCCGGUAAGUCCGUUGUAAAAGUCGAAGGCUCAACCUUCGAAAGCCGAUGGAUACUGCCGGGCUAGAGGAUGGUAGAGGCGAGUGGAAUUCCCGGUGUAGCGGUGAAAUGCGCAGAUAUCGGGAGGAACACCAGUAGCGAAGGCGGCUCGCUGGGCCAUUCCUGACGCUGAGACGCGAAAGCUAGGGGAGCGAACAGG
rnacentral:rRNA from 1 species